ACUGAUCUUAUCCUUGCUUAGGUGGCAAAAUCUAUCUUAUCUUUCUAUCGCUUCAGAUUACAGGUUUGAUCAAGGUUGUAGCCUCCCGGUAUAAAAAUCCUUUAAUUCAACCUUUUUUUCUUCCAUUUCUCAACUUCUGCUCACAACCCUGUCCAAAAUUAAAUUCAAAUUAAAAUUAAAUAUUUAUAUCAAAAUUACAGUAAAAUCAAGGAAUUAAAU
rnacentral:lncRNA from 1 species